UAUGGCUUCGCAAAGAGUCUGACAUGGCUGAGCGACUAACACACACACUGGAGAGCUUGUCUCCCUGACCAGAUAUCGAACUUGCACCCGCUGCAUUGGCAGUGUGGAGUGUUAACCACUGGACUGCCAGAGAAAUCCCAAAGGAUCUUUAAUACACUCUUCUGUCUCUAUAACAUGCACACGAAUGCUAAACUUGCAGGGAAAACUUACCUCUGAGUGCUCAACAUAGAAACAAAAUUGCAGCCCUAUAUUAUAUUUUACUGCAUAAUAAAGUAUGUAAAAAAUUGGUGGCUUACA